rnacentral:rRNA from 1 species
AAACUAACAAGGAUUCCCCUAGUAGCGGCGAGCGAAGCGGGAAGAGCUCAAAUUUAUAAUCUGGCACCUUCGGUGUCCGAGUUGUAAUCUCUAGAAAUGUUUUCCGCGUUGGACCGCACACAAGUCUGUUGGAAUACAGCGGCAUAGUGGUGAGACCCCCGUAUAUGGUGCGGACGCCCAGCGCUUUGUGAUACAUUUUCGAAGAGUCGAGUUGUUUGGGAAUGCAGCUCAAAUUGGGUGGUAAAUUCCAUCUAAAGCUAAAUAUUGGCGAGAGACCGAUAGCGAACAAGUACCGUGAGGGAAAGAUGAAAAGCACUUUGGAAAGAGAGUUAACAGUACGUGAAAUUGUUGGAAGGGAAACGCUUGAAGUCAGACUUGCUUGCCGAGCAAUCGGUUUGCAGGCCAGCAUCAGUUUUCCGGGAUGGAUAAUGGUAGAGAGAAGGUAGCAGUUUCGGCUGUGUUAUAGCUC